UUCUUUCUUUCUCUCUCUCUCUUUCUAUCCCUUUUUUUUUUCUUCCUUAAAUGCAAGGGCAAUAUUCAGUUGAACAGAAGGCAGAAGGUUGCAUAGGGAGGAAUUUCCAGUAAGCUUGCUUAGAUAGAACAAAAACUUCGGCUAUUUCAUUCACCUCAUUUGAAUUAUUUAUUUCAAAAGAUUUUACGGAUAAAGAAAGUAAAAUUCUGUUCAAACAACACACAAAAAGAAGACGAAGGUCAAGGUUGAGGUGAAAAAGAAGCCAUGAAGAUAGAAAUGGAGAUUCAACUUGAAGAACACCAUCAAAUUAUCAAAGCAGAUUCUUGCAGAGGCUGAAACAAAAAAGAUAAAAGAGGAAGACAACUAAAAAGGGACUGCGAAAGAGUUUUUCCAGGUUGAUGCUGCAUCAACAGAGGCAUGUAACUCAAGCAUUAACUCAGAAGCAUGUAACUCAGUAUAUAGUAUGUGAAUGUAACUCACUCUUUGAUUUUUGUGCUGCCUUUUACAGUACCGUUGUUUUGAGAUAUAUGCACUUCUACCAUCAAGUAUUUCAAUUCAGUGCUCUACUA